UCAAACCGGUUGCCUCUAGUGCAUCCUUCCACUUGUAUAAAUCCUCUGAAGUUUCAGCUUAAAAAUAAAGAUGCCUAAUGUCCUUUUCAUAUUCACUAAAUCAAUCAAUCAAUUAUUAAAUGAGAUCAACUAACCAAACUCUCUUAGAUAUAUAGAAACAAAACAAAAAUGAAAAAAAAACUCAUAAAAAUUACACUAACAAAUGCCUUUUGCAAAAAGAAGGUUAAAAUUGGAUCGAUGGUAUGAUUUAACUAAAAACAUAGCACCAUGAGAGUAAAAGCUCUUUUGUCGUGUCCAUCGGGAAAUAACACUCUGCUUUAACAACGAAACUGAAAAAUAAAGAAUAUUAGGGGUCGUAAUUUUGACCAUUUAUUGGUCAAACCACUGUUUGUAAAAAAAGUCACGUUGACCAAAGUCAAACCACUGUUUGCAAAACUAUGAUUCUUAGUGGUUCAAAAGUCUGUUUGACCAAAGCCAAACCACUGUUUUACCAUCGUCUGUUUAACCAAAGUCAAACCA